rnacentral:rRNA from 1 species
GAUGAACGCUGGCGGCGUGCUUAACACAUGCAAGUCGAACGGAAAGGCUCCUGCUUCCCCGGGUACUCGAGUGGCGAACGGGUGAGUAACACGUGGGUGAUCUGCCCUGCACUUCGGGACAAGCCUGGGAAACUGGUUCUAAUACCGGCUAGGUGGGUGGGUUGGAUGCCAUUGUGGAAAGUUUUGUCGGUGUGGGAUGGGUUCGGGGCCUAUCAGCUUUUUGGGGGGGUAAUGGCCUACCAACGCGUCGCCGGGUAUGCGGCCUGAGAGUGUGUACGGGGACAAUGGGACUGCGGGACGGCGCAGAGUGGUACAGUGGGCAGUAGUCGGGAGUAUGACACAAUGAGGGCACGCGUGAUGAGGAGGCGUUGGGUGGGGGAUGACCGCCUUCGGGUGGUAAACGCCUGUCAGUAAGGACCAAGCGGAAGUGACGGUACCUGCAGAAGAAGCACCGGCUAACUACGUG